GACGUAGGGCGCGAGCGUUGUCCGGAUUUAUUGGGCGUAAAGAGCUCGUAGGUGGUUCGGUAAGUCGGGUGUUAAACCCCCAGCUCAACCUGGGGACGCCACUCGAUACUGCUGUGACUAGAGUCCGGUAGGGGAGCGUGGAAUUCCUGGUGUAGCGGUGAAAUGCGUAGAUAUCAGGAGGAACACCGGUGGUGUAGACGGCUUUCUGGACCGUAACUGACGCUGAGACACGAAAGCGUGGGUAGCAAACAGG
rnacentral:rRNA from 1 species